ACGGUAAUGUGAUCCAAAGUACCCCAAUGUGCUAACCUGUGAGAAAGAAACCACAAAAUCAUGAUCACACAGAACUCCAAAAAGGUUAAGAUAUGAGGUUGGUUCAGUGAGAUUUAGUUUUAGGUCUUUUAGAGACGUGGAAAAAUGGACACAAAAUACAUUAGAAUGAUGAUGAACUGUGCUUACCUCCAGAAACAUACUGAAGCUGCCACUAAAAUCAAGGGUUUUAACAAAAGAUCGUUAGUAAAAGGUUAAACGCUCGAGAAUAGAAACUAAAAAGACAUGAAAAUCUUGAAGCAUACUUAGAGUUUACUAAUUAAAAGUAUAUAGUUUUCAAAUGGAAAUAUCUUCCUAUAAAGGAAAAAAGGCCAGAAAAAAAUAUAUGAGCAGGAACAAUAAAAGAUGAUAAACACUGCAACGCGAUUCUGAUAUAUAUUGCAACAGUCUGAUCCUAGAUGUGAUGAAUUAAGGGAAGCAGUUUUACUUUUUGUCAAAUGUCCAUUCUUUGAUUUUUUCACCUCUGAUUCUAUGUUCCUCGCGGUGGGUUUUAUCAUGAAGUUUCCUCAGUUUCAUAUUAUCAUACUUACCCUGCUAAAACUCAAAAAUGAUAACAAUAUUGAAAGUGCAAAUGUAUGAUAACAAAAACAAAACCCUUUGGAAGAAGAAAACGCACAGAGGAACAAUAAGUUCCCUUACAAAAACCAAAUGGUUCAGAGAAUGCAAGAGAUCCAACGGAAACCUUCAGUUUUUCGAGGUUUUUCCUUCCCCAUUCAAGACCUUGUUAGCAAGCCUUAUGUCUCUCUCUGGAUCAUAAGUGCACAAAAUCACGUCGAAAAAAUCAGAUGUUAAAUGCACAAAAUCACGUCGAACAAAUCAGAUGUUUAUAUCAUGUUUAGAUGUUUAUAUCAUGUUUAGAGACAAAACAAAACAAAACACUCUAAUUUUAGUGCUUUUGAAUCAAAUAUUUUUACCAUGAUACCAUCAGAGUUCAGAGGAGAGCACAUCAAUUUGAUCUUUACUGUAAAUCUCUUUGUAACUUAUCGUGAUUCUCCUUCUUUAGCUCUUGUUUCUUUUUUUCUUUUUUGUCUGAAACGCCUAUGACAGCUUUCUCAUAUGUUCCCCAUCUUACAACUACGAAAAACAAAAUUCCAAUUUCCAGAAUCAUAAAUACAGAAAUAGGAUUUCUAAGAGAACCACACAAAAGUCGACUUUGAGAAUAAGAGUUCACAAGCCUGAAGUUUAAAAAAAAAGUGACUCUUGGGUAUGGUAAAGGUUUUGUAGAGAAGGAGAGAAGAAAGGAAGAGGAAUCAAUGAGCGGACUCUUGGAUAGGAAAUCAAAAGUUCAUAAUACGUUUUGCAGAGAAACCGAGAAGAAAGAAAAAGGAAUCGAUUUUGCCGAAUAAAAUUGAAGUUCAGUAUGUUAAUGUGUUGACCUAAUGACAUGUCAUAAAACUUGCGUUUGAUUGGUCUGAAUUUCCAAUCCGACGUGGACGCGUUUAGAGAGCUUGAUAUCCUGCUUUUAGUAUUGUUAGAUAUUUUUCUAAAUUUAAAGAAUGUAAUCUGAAUGAGAAAUUAAUGGCAAGGAAAUGACUUAGACUAUAGUAGGAAAGAUAUAUGGGUAAGAUCAACAAAUGUAUUAUUUACAAUGAAUUUGGUCACAAAAGAAAAAGAAAUAUAAAAAAAGAAAAAGAAAAAAAAAUCAAAAAAUCAUUAUGAGAAUCAGAUGAUAAUAAAAACAUCACGAUUGUAGGCUUCAACAUCAUCUAGAACAUAUAUUUUUCUGAACUUAAUCAAUGUGUUGUUGGUAGAAAGAAAAAGAUGAAUGACUUAACAAAUCUUUAUAUAUAAAGUACACUUUGAUUCCCUCCCAGAGGGUCCACGUUGGAUGACACCUCAUCAAUUCAUGCACUUUGGAAGCGACACGCGUCUCUGUUCUUCAAAGUGCACCGUUUCAUUUAGGUCAGCGUCUUUUAGUUUCAUCGUCUUCAUCGAAACGACGCAGCCACCGUGACGAUCAAAGUUCAGAACAAGCCUCUUACCAGAACGGUCUAAGCUUUCAUUUAAUUUGCGGUAUUUACGUUCUCAUUGACUCCAUUAAACCACGACUCCUCUAACUCGCAUUCAAGAAGACCAUCAAAAGUAACGAAUCUGAACCUAUAAAUAAGAACGUAUGAUUCGGUGAAAUUCAUCAAUUUCUCAUUCUCAAUCUUGACAAUCCCUAUCAAUGGCAAGCUCCACCUUCCUGCUCGCCGACUUAAAAUCCGGUGGUUGUGCUACGAUUGUUGAAGCCCGGCUUUGGAAAGGCGCAAAUGUGGUGAAAAGCGUUGAGCUCACAGGUUAGACAUGUUGACCAUUGACGAGCAGGUGAUUCCGCGACCAUUGACUGCCUAUUAGUACUUUCCGGGUGGGCUUUGCUGUUACGGCGUCACUGAUUUGUUGUAAGAAGCACAAGUCCUGUCGCUUAUGUGGGCCUAAACUAAAUCUCAGAGGUUCCUGACUUUCUCUCUACGACACAAACAUCAGCACAUUAUCUCGAUGGUGCUCAAGGUGAGUUUUGAAUUUCAUGUGCUUCGGAUUUUGAGUAUUUUAGAUUGAUUCGUGGAUUUUGAUUCGGUGCGUAGACGACAAUGAUAUGGAUCGACAUCUCCGGUGCCAAAAGCCAUGUACACUCUGUUCCAUUAGAGCUUUUGAAUUGUCUUUUUGUCUGUGAUUUAGUGAUCUUUUGACAGCAGCGAUCCAGUUUUCGCUGGUAGUUCAGAAACAGAGGAAUAACAAGGGAAAAGUUUAACUCUUGAGAUUCAAGUUCCAUGAGCACUAAUGUUUGGUUUUUGACUCUUGAUCAACGCACAGAGGAAGUCUUUGCGAACAUAGCUCAAGGCGAUGUUGAAGUUAUCAACCGGGCGGUGAAAGCUGCAAGGAAGGAUAUUGAUGAAGGACCUUAGCCUGAGAUGACCGCUUAUAUGAAAGGUGAAGGAUAAUGCUGAGAUUCACAUAUUUGGUUGAGAAACACAUCAAAGAGCUCUCAUCUCUAGAGACAUUGGACAAUGGGAAGACUUAUGAACAAGCCAAAACAGCAUAAAUUGCAAUGCUUCCCAGAUUGUUUCAAGAGUUUUGUUUUGAUCGAUACUCCUGCAGUUUCUAAGUUUGGAGAGCUUAAAAGGCACCUAAAAUCCAAAAAUAGAGGGACAUCAAACGGUGGAUCAAGAGCUUCAGAAGAUACAAUAGGAUAUAUAGAGUAUGAGUACAAGAAACAUGCGCUAUAAGAAGCACAUCAGCAGGGUCGUGAUGGAGCUUGAUAUGACAUGCAGUGUCAUUGAAGAGCUAAAACUAGAAGUAGCAUUGGCAGAGAAAGAACAAGCGAAACAAGACGCUAAUGUUGCGAAGCUGAGAGUGAAGAAAAUGGAGGGAGACAGUAAAAACGCAACUGGCGUAUUAAACAACAAAUGCUACACUUUGGAGUGUAUAAUUGGACGAGGGAAAUCAAAUGGUGGUCGACUAAGUUUGAAGCAGUUUCAUUCCGAUGGACUAAGGAGGCAAACAAAGUAGAAGAUUGAUUAGCGACUACUAGACCUUUAGACAAUUCUUUUAAAUUUCAUUACUGUGUACCCCAAUAUAUCACUAAUCUUCUUCAUGAAGAUCAUUUAGUCUUCGGUUGCAUAGUAAUAAAAAUAGAUGUUGUAAAAAAUAGUUUUAAUUUAUGAUAUUAAUACAA